rnacentral:lncRNA from 1 species
UGAUUGUUCUUUCUAUUCUUGAGGAUAGAGCUGUGCUGGUUUAUCAUUGGAUUACGGACGAACAGGGGAUGAGGCAGAGAAAGAUUAUUCUUUCUGUUGUUGAGAACAGAGCUCUACUACCGGAUGCAAAGCCAAUAAACGGGUACGACACUACAAAAAAACGCGAAAUUAGCGGCGCAAAUUACCGGCGGCGAUUUUGCCGUCGGUAGUUACCGGCGGCACGGCGGCGG